CAAGUCAUAAGCGUUUGUGCGAAACUACACACCAUACUAUGUUGCGAUGGCGGGUAUGGAAUCCGCAAGGGAUGCUCGUAGACGGAAAAUUUUAGAAAAUCGCGAAAGUCGAAUGAACCGUCUUCUGGGCAAGUCACCAGAUCCCCAACAUAAAAAUGAAGUGCCUGAAGAUAUUACAAAAUGUGAAGGCCUCAUACUCCAGUCAUCCAAACAAGAUGCAAGUUAUGAAUUUGCUGAGGUUUCCACCAUGCAUGAUGUGGACAUAACCACUAAUAGCCAGGCACCAUCAGUUGUUAAAUCAAAGAAUACUUUCCGAUUCUCCUGUGAGCCCUACAUUAAAAGAAGAGAACAAAAACAUUCCAUUAAAGCCAGUCAAUCAAUUCCAGUAUCAUACUACACAGCAUGGUGAGAGUUGGGUACCAGAUGAUGAACAUCAGCCAGUAACUGCAAAACCAGAUCUGCUAGGCAUGCUGGAUGUGAUGAGAGCUGGUGGCUGUGUGAUCGUUGCCUUCUUGACAUGUUGGUCUUUUUCUUUUGGAAUGAAUCUUCUUUUUUUAGAGCUUGCUACACUGCCAUUCAUUUUGCUGGAGGGGUUUCUGUUCUAUUUCCAGACCACACACAUGAAGGAUGUUCGAUUACCUCACAAGUUUUCGGUGAUGUCUAGUGUUCUGAUGCUAUGUGGGAUCCAGCCAAAAGCAAUUGGGUUAUAUGAUAAAAUUAUGGGUUACAUUUGUGCAGUAGCAGAAGAUUUUGCUCUAUUCUUGUUCACAGUUAUUUUUUUCAAUACUUUCAUAGGUGUAGACAGCUGAAGCACAAUAUCUGAAUUGCUAUUUAUUGAGUAGAAAAGAAUAGGUGGUUGAUUUUCUUUUUUAAAAGAAACUUUUUCCAGAUGAACACAGCUUUUUUUUUUUUUUUUACUUGUAAAGCUAUUGAAGAACUGAUGCUAUCAGUUAGAGAAUCUGCAUUUGUUAGAUCAAUUCCAUAUGCUUUCUAAACAAUACUGCUUUCACUUGGAAAGACAGUUUCCCAUUCCCACCAUCUACAGUGCACCCAGCUUGUAUGCACACCCUUAAAACCAAAAUUUAACAAGCCCUGACCCAUACACAAGUAUAGGCACUGUCCUGUGCAAGGUGUAGAAGUUUGGAAAAAUACAUCCUAAUGACAUAAAGUCAUAACUGAUGCCGUUAGCACGUAGCUGUUUGAAGUGUUGUGUGUAAUACAUAACUAGUACUUUAAUUUUAAAACUACAGAAGUCUUUUUAAUUUAAAAAAAUGUGUGCAGCUUCAUUAAAAUGACAUUAUACUGCUGGAAUUAAUAGCUCAUUAACAGUUGUGUGCUUUUAAUCAGGUGGGAACAGAUGAAGGUGAAUUUGAACGAGAUGAAUUUGAAAAUUGUUUUCAUUCAGUAUAUAUGGUUGCCUUUCUCAGGGGUAGCCCACACAAUUUGAUAUUAAGCUUAAGGUUUUUUCUCUUAUGCAUGUAAUAAUAAUAUAAUAAUAAUGUGUACUUGCAACAUGCAGCUUCAUGACCAAGAUAGAUCGCACUCUCUGUGCAGACUAGUAAUGAUGAAUGACUGCAUCAGACCACGAACUUGUAUUACUGGACUGCUGGCAGACGAUUUGUUUCCAGUUAACUACUAAAACGAGGCACGCUUGUACAAAGCUUCUGGUUUAGUCACAUUCAUAGUUUAGGCUUGCCGUGACUAACAGUGGAGAACUUUGCAAGAGGCUAAGUGUUGGUCUUGGCAGACAGCAAUCCACCUAUACACAUCCCUGAUCAGACACUGACAUACGUUAAUGUCUUAUGUUGCUGUUAGAGUGAAUCUCAUAAUUAUGACUAUAACAGCAUUAGUAGGUACCGCCACACAUGCCUUUCUGCUGAAAUUCCAAGUAUUUCAUGGGCUAUCGGGACAGAAAUAUCACAAUAAAGAACAACUUUUCUUC